GACGAACGCUGGCGGCGUGCUUAACACAUGCAAGUCGAACGAAGUGGCGAACGGGUGAGUAACGCUUAAUCAACCUGCCCUUCAGAGGGGGAUAACAGUUGGAAACGACUUCUAAUACCGCAUACUGAAGGAGGGUAUUUCGUCUGAUUAGCUAGUUGGAGGGGUAACGGCCCACCAAGGCGAUGAUAAGUAGACGGGCUUAGUGGAUGAACGGGCAAAUUGGGAGUGAGACAAGGCCCCGAAUCCUACGGGAGGGAGGAGUGGGGGAACUUCCGAAAUGGAGGAAAGUCUGAAGGCGCAAAGGCGGGGGAGUGAUGAAGGCCUUCGGGUUGUAAAGCUCUGUUAAUCGGGACGUGGUACCGGAAUAGAAAGCCACGGCUAACUACGUGCCAGCAGCCGCGGUAAUAC
rnacentral:rRNA from 1 species